rnacentral:pre_miRNA from 1 species
CAUCCGUCUCAUUUAGUUUUUUUUUUCCAACGUUUGAUUAUCUGUUUUAUUUAAAAAUUUUUAUGACUAAUAUUUUUAUUGUUAUUAGAUGAUAAAACAUAAAUAGAUGCGUUACUUACUUUUAAAAGUUUUUAAAUAAGAUGAACGGUUAAACAUUGGACACGGAAACCUGCAACUGCAUUUAAA